CACGUAGGGGGCAAGCGUUGUCCGGAAUCAUUGGGCGUAAAGGGCGCGUAGGUGGCCCCUCAAGCGGGCGGUGAAAGUCGGGGGCUCAACCCCCGAUCGGCCGUGCGAACUGGGGGGCUGGAGCACUGUAGAGGCAGGCGGAAUUCCGGGUGUAGCGGUGGAAUGCGUAGAGAUCCGGAAGAACACCGGUGGCGAAGGCGGCCUGC
rnacentral:rRNA from 1 species